AUUGAACGCUGGCGGCAUGCCUUACACAUGCAAGUCGAACGGUAACAGGUCUUCGGAUGCUGACGAGUGGCGAACGGGUGAGUAAUACAUCGGAACGUGCCUAGUAGUGGGGGAUAACUACUCGAAAGAGUGGCUAAUACCGCAUGAGAUCUACGGACGAAAGCAGGGGAUCGCAAGACCUUGUGCUACUAGAGCGGCCGAUGGCAGAUUAGGUAGUUGGUGGGAUAAAAGCUUACCAAGCCGACGAUCUGUAGCUGGUCUGAGAGGACGAUCAGCCACACUGGGACGGAGAAACGGCCCAGACUCCUACGGGAGGCAGCAGUGGGGAAUUUUGGACAAUGGGCGCAAGCCUGAUCCAGCAAUGCCGCGUGCAGGAUGAAGGCCUUCGGGUUGUAAACUGCUUUUGUACGGAACGAAAAGCCCCGGGUUAAUACCCUGGGGUCAUGACGGUACCGUAAGAAUAAGCACCGGCUAACUACGUGCCAGCCGCCGCGGUAA
rnacentral:rRNA from 1 species